rnacentral:lncRNA from 1 species
UUUUCUUGGGAAGAAUGACAGUGCUCACGUCACCCUAAAAUCAAUGCAAUCAGAAGGUAUAAAUGGCUAAAAGAGGCAAACAAGUUUAAAAAAAGUGAAGAGAAGUGUGUGGUACCUUAUAACCUUCGACCCCAGGGCUAGAACUGUCGUUCUCACUUUGGGCCGCUACUACUCUUGCCAUUUCCUCAGGAGUAGGUUCUUGGAUAAUAAGUGCAACA